CUGGCGGCGUGCCUAAUACAUGCAAGUCGAACGCACUCUCGUUUAGAUUGAAGGAGCUUGCUCCUGAUUGAUAACAUUUGAGUGAGUGGCGGACGGGUGAGUAACACGUGGGUAACCUGCCCUAAAGUGGGGGAUAACAUUUGGAAACAGAUGCUAAUACCGCAUAAAACCUAACACCGCAUGGUGUAGGGUUGAAAGAUGGUUUCGGCUAUCACUUUAGGAUGGACCCGCGGUGCAUUAGUUAGUUGGUGAGGUAAAGGCUCACCAAGACCGUGAUGCAUAGCCGACCUGAGAGGGUAAUCGGCCACACUGGGACUGAGACACGGCCCAGACUCCUACGGAGGCAGCAGUAGGGAAUCUUCCACAAUGGACGAAAGUCUGAUGGAGCAACGCCGCGUGAGUGAAGAAGGUUUUCGGAUCGUAAAACUCUGUUGUUGGAGAAGAAUGUAUCUGAUAGUAACUGAUCAGGUAGUGACGGUAUCCAACCAGAAAGCCACGGCUAACUACGUG
rnacentral:rRNA from 1 species